UAAGGAAUAUUGGUCAAUGGACGCAAGUCUGAACCAGCCAUGCCGCGUGAAGGAUUAAGGUCCUCUGGAUUGUAAACUUCUUUUAUCUGCGACGAAAAAAGGCGAUUCUUCGUCACUUGACGGUACCAGAUGAAUAAGCACCGGCUAACUCCGUGCCAGCAGCCGCGGUAAUACGGAGGGUGCAAGCGUUAUCCGGAUUCACUGGGUUUAAAGGGUGCGUAGGCGGGCAGGUAAGUCAGUGGUGAAAUCCUAGAGCUUAACUCUAGAACUGCCAUUGAUACUAUCUGUCUUGAAUAUUGUGGAGGUAAGCGGAAUAUGUCAUGUAGCGGUGAAAUGCUUAGAUAUGACAUAGAACACCUAUUGCGAAGGCAGCUUACUACGCAUAUAUUGACGCUGAGGCACGAAAGCGUGGGGAUCAAACAGGAUUAGAUACCCUGGUAGUCCACGCCCUAAACGAUGUCAACUAGUCGUUGGGAUUGGCA
rnacentral:rRNA from 1 species